rnacentral:rRNA from 1 species
CGGAGGGUGCAAGCGUUAUCCGGAUUCACUGGGUUUAAAGGGAGCGCAGGCGGAUUGGUAAGUCAGUGGUGAAAGGCUUUAGCUUAACUUGGGAACUGCCAUUGAUACUACUGGUCUUGAAUGUUGUUGAGGUUUGCGGAAUGGGUCAUGUAGCGGUGAAAUGCAUAGAUAUGACCCGGAACACCUAUUGCGAAGGCAGCAGGCUAAACAAAUAUUGACGCUGAGGCUCGAAAGCGUGGGGAUCAAACAGGAUUAGAUACCCUGGUAGUCCACGCCCUAAACUAUGAUUACUCGACAUAUGCGAUACACUGUAUGUGUCUGAGCGAAAGCAUUAAGUAAUCCACCUGGGAAGUACGACCGCAAGGUUG